CCUACGGGUGGCAGCAGUGGGGAAUAUUGGACAAUGGGGGGAACCCUGAUCCAGCCAUGCCGCGUGUGUGAAGAAGGCCCUCGGGUUGUAAAGCACUUUCAGUGAGGAAGAACGCCUGGUGGUUAAUACCCAUCAGGAAAGACAUCACUCACAGAAGAAGCACCGGCUAACUCCGUGCCAGCAGCCGCGGUAAUACGGAGGGUGCGAGCGUUAAUCGGAAUUACUGGGCGUAAAGCGCGCGUAGGUGGCUUGAUAAGCCGGUUGUGAAAGCCCCGGGCUCAACCUGGGAACGGCAUCCGGAACUGUCAAGCUAGAGUGCAGGAGAGGAAGGUAGAAUUCCCGGUGUAGCGGUGAAAUGCGUAGAGAUCGGGAGGAAUACCAGUGGCGAAGGCGGCCUUCUGGACUGACACUGACACUGAGGCGCGAAAGCGUGGGUAGCAAACAGGAUUAGAUACCCGAGUAGUC
rnacentral:rRNA from 1 species